CAGUCCUGCAGCGUGCAACCACUACUGGGGCAGCUCGUGACUCCUCUUGGCCAUGGACCUCAGAGCCCAUACAGGUGAAAUGUGAGACGUAACUUUGCCUUGUGUGGCCCUAAUGAACAUAAGGUGGGCAAAGCUGCUGGAGCAUCCUCAUGCCAUGAUCUUCGAGGAGCAACAUCGCAGUGCAGUGCCUUGUCAUGGUGGGGCAUGGCACUGAGAGCUGCUGGCCACCAGGAGGGAGACAAAGGGAAGGUGACCAUCUUUCCGACAUGGAGCAUGUAGCAGCUGCCUGUGAUGCUGCCUUGCAAAAGUGGUGGGGAAGUAUUUACAUUAUUAAACAUUGUGAUGACAAGUGUCUUGGGAUCUUGCAAGGCUGUAUUGCUAAGUAAGGCAACAAGCAGUGUAACUGCUGGCAUGUUUUGAAGCGAGAGGACAUCCCAUCUGAAGGACCUGUGUGAAAGAUCAUCCCCCACUCUUCCCCACACAAGUGGUUGGUUUGUGCCUGCAGCUAACUCUGUGCUCCAAAGAAGACAAGAAUCUCCCCUCCAGCACCCGCAGGAAAAGACCAAGCCCAACAAAUCUCCCCACACCCAGGAAGUACUCAUGGCUCUCUGCUCCCUUAUCACCUCCUGAAGCAAGGUGAUGGAGAGGUGGGAUGGGGGAAGGUAAGCUCACAGCCCCACACUGUGCUGACCAGGGUGUGCCAGCAGCAGUGCAAGAGGCACAGGGAAUGACAUGCUCGGAGACAGUCCAUGGGGUAAGUCUGGGUCCCCCUUUGCUGUCAAGCCCUGAGCUCUCUCAGACCACAUGGAGGUCAAACCAGGCACAGAAAACAUGAGUUGGCUGUGCUGAGAUGUGAGACCAUGGCUCCAGGGAAAGUAGGUGCUUCCUAAUGUAAAGUUAGGACACUUUCUGGAAGAGAUUCAAAGAUCACAGGAGAGACUGUAUUAGCUCCUAGCCAAAGAGGAAAAACCAGCCCUAAAAAUAACUGAAUUAUAAAGGUCAGUGACAGAGGUCAGGCCAUUGAUGCUCAGAAGAAAAUGUGGCUGGUUUUUACCAUUGUCUGAGUGCUGUAUAGUCAAUAUCAAACUCCAGUAAUGAUGUACAGUUCUUGUUGCUUGUGCAACUGUAAAAUAGGAUGGGACAGAUUUUCAGCAUUCGCAGACUUUAGGACAUUUAUGAUGUCUUUUUGUUCAGAAGAACUGAACAUCAAAGUCUUGACAGAGAUACUUGUGGGGAGAGGUGUUGAGAUUUGAGGGUGGCAGAUGGGGCAGACAGAUCACAAUGGUAUGAUCGGAUAAAGAGCUUUUUGUCUUAUGACAUCUUGCUUUUGAGGAAAUAAAAUUCCCAUCUCUCCACA
rnacentral:lncRNA from 1 species